GUUAAACCCUCAAAUUUCAAUAUUCCUCGCCUUUGUUUCGAGUUCUCUCACCUCUUGUACGGCCGUCCCUAAUAAACCCGAUUGUUUUCCCAAACCCAGAACAAUCAUCUUACUCCUUUUUCUUUGACACAUGAAUUAAUUUGAAAAUCCAGUACAAAACGUUAUUCAAUACUUCAUACUGUUUAUCUUCCUUAACUUUCUGCACAAUCUUUGACAAGGGUAUUUCCUCAGCGCUUCAAUUACACAAUCCAAGUGUCCAAAAAAAUGGGGACUCGAAAAGUGUAUGAGCAGAAACUUCGAACUGGAAAUAUGUAUGAUUAUGAUCCCACCAUCAAUCCUGGUCUUGGAACACCUCGUUGUCCCCGUUGUCUCUCGUUACUCGAGUCAGAUUCUGAAAACGGGGAAUGGACUAUUACUUCUGUGUUACACGAUGCCACUGCUGUGGCUGGCACUGGAUUUGGAUCAAUGCUAAGUGUUACUCAUGCUUUUAAUACUGGGAUACCUUUUGUUCAGAAGCAUGUUAAAGGACCCAAGUGGCUUCCAUUUGUUGUUGGGCUUCCACCCUUACUAAUAUCUUCAGCUGCAUGUGCUGCAUUUGGUGGCUAUGCUCUUCCUAAAUUCACUCAGCUUACUGUGACAUCAUAUUAUGCUGCUUCAAAUGCUGCACAUUACGGGAUCUCUUUACUCACAAGACACAUCGAAGAGGCACAUAUUUCAACUUCUCGGCAGGAAAAGCCCUCAUGAUGAUGCGUAUAAAAUGUAGCAGACAACAGAUUGCUGCUUUGCAUGUACCAGAUGUGUGGGGUAGUCUCCUCAAUAAACCUUCAGCUGACAAACAUACUAGGGGCUAUUUUGUUUCAAAAAUAACACAUUAGAGUGUUGCAACAGAGCAGAAUUGUAACCACACAGGAUGAUUAGGCUGGACCGAGAUAUGCUUGUAUUGUUAGGAGUCAAGUCAUGUAAUAUCUUCUUGGACCGAGUAAUCUGUUAUGGAAUUGGGACCGGAUGAGUUUGUCUGGGUAAAUAAAAGUGAUUUGCUAGUUUGGAGAAUCACCACUAUGUGGAGGAAUUUAUAGGGGAGGGUUUUAGGAUUUAUUUUUUUAUUUUUUUAUAAUUAUUGUUGUCUUUUUAUGAUGAUUUACAAAUUACGGUGAUUGAUUAAAAUUUUCUAGAGACAGGUGGCGAUGGUUCAGACAGUCUAAACACCCAUGUCAUAAUUCAUUUAUAUAUGGACCGAUUUGUAAUAAUUCAUUUAUUUAAUUGAGAAGGAGAAAAAAGGUCUAUGUUAGAGGAUAUGUCAAUUCAUGCUUGUGUAAUAAAGGUUGACAAUCCACUAAUAUUCAACAUCCAUUUAAUUUGCUUCUUUUUCUUUGGGGAGUUUAGCAUCAUUCUAUCUAACCUAGAAAUAAUUAUAUUCAAUGUGAGAAUUAGGUCUUAUCUGAAUUGGCUGUCUAAGUUGGAGUAAGUAUCUUUUUCAUGUAAUAUUUUAGAAUCGAUUCUUACCCAACAUAGGAGUAUAGGCAAAUACCACUUUCCUCAGUUGGAGCAAGUAUAAUAAUGUAAUAUAAUUAACAUUAUACAUAUACUAAUAACUAAAAGAAAUAUUAACUGUCAAUCUAUAAUAGAGAUAUAGGCAUUUUAAUUUCAUUUUCUUCAAUAUAGUCUAUAAUCAAAUUAAUCAUUACGGCUUUUUGUUACUCAAACUCUUUACUCUACCUCAAUUAUUCGAAUAAAACCAUUACACUUAGACAUGAAUAAGACACUUAGACAUUCCAAACUGUAUCUAAAUCUUGGGAAAAUAACCAAACGAAUCCCUAUUAGACACGAGUACUUAGCUAACAUAGACCAGAAUAGAUUGUGUUAUCUGAGCACCUAUGGCUAUUGGCUAAUGGGCAGUACAAAGUGUACUUGAUCUAGAUUAGAGAUGGGUAUCACUUUAGAUUCACUAGAGACACUCUUGUGCAGAAAAACUAAAAUAGAUACUCUUCUAUAGCUUUGAUUUAGCACUAAAAAGAAAGUUAACGUUUUUAAGAAAAUGUGGAUAGUCAAUCUAGGAUUCCGCACAAGUCAGGGUCUGAUGGAGAGAAGGAUAGUACGCAAAUUAUACCCGUGCAAGGAGAAACCGGCGCAUUUAGAUUAUCUCCAAAAGAUAAAUUCCUGCAAAGAGCAGGGUGAGUGAAACACAACGCGCUUGAAAAAGUAAGCAAAUGAAGAGAAAGAUUAAGUUGUGUCAUGAAACUGAAUGAAAGUUUGAUUAUAUAGAUGAGAUUAUAAGAAAAUUGAUAGGUUUAUUUCCAAAAAAAGAAAUAAUCCAAAAUAAAAAGAAUAAUACAAAAUAAAAAAUGAUGUUAAAUAGAAGAGAUGUGUAAAUUGUACCAGUAAAAGUUAAAAACAGAAUAUAACGAUGAAUCAAAAGUGGGGCCAAAGGUAACAUGUGAAGGUUAGAGUAAGAUCUAUGUAUAGAGUAGAUUGCUUGAAGUUGAUGGCAGAAAGUUACCCAAAGAAGAGUCAGAACCAUUAGAAAGGACACUGUUGAUCUAUCAAUAUGGUCUACUAAUUUGGUGGCAUUUAUUGAUCAGUGAAUGCCUGAAUGCCAUAUUCAGUGUCAGUCUCCAUUCGUAAAUUCUUAAAGUGAUUUGUAAAUUACUAUAAAAAAAACAAAAUGAAUAAUAAUAAAAUAAAUAAAAUCAAAAAAGAUAAAUUAAAACAAUAAAACUCUCACCCUAUCAUAUCUUAACAUAUAAGGGUGAUUUAUUAACUUCACAAAUAACCGUUAUUUACUAAGACUUUCUCGUUAAAAGAAGAGUUUAGAAUUUAGUGAUAGGGUGAUAUUCAAUUUGCAUUAAAUUUUAUUUUGAAUUGUGCUACUUAUUUUACAUUAUACCUUAUUUAGAAAUGGAUUCGCAAUCUUUUAAAAUAAUCUAGUAUAUGUUUUAAUUAUUUUUUUAAUUUUAUCUAUAUAAUAUCUUCUCGUUUGAUUAAUUUAAAAGGAUGGAUUAGUACAAUAGGACUAGGGGGAGAUGAUCUUGAUAGUGAUGCCAUUAAGCAGUGACAUUGUAACAUGAUUUAGCUAUACUUUCUAUUUGUAUGUUUCUUUGGUUUUACAAUAUUUCUUUCAUGGAUUUUUUUUUUAAUUCAUCCACAUAUUUUUUCUUUUUCUAAUUAUUAUAUUCUCACAAUUUCAUUUUUUUUUUUCUAAUUUU